GCCAACAAAGCUGGAGAAAUUGAAAUGGAAGCAGAAGUUACUUAAAAAUGGAAGCAUUUUUGAGCUUACCAUCUUUGAUGGCUAUGGCAAUGUGGAAAGUGCCAAGCACCACCAUGAAAAUGGUGGCUGCUGUUGCUGCUGCUCUCAUUUUUGAAUGACUCUGCUCUCUUUGAGAAUUUGGAUAUUUUUAGAAAGAAAGAAAGAAAGUAGCAAAGAAAAAGGACGGAAGAAAGGAAGGAAGACAAAGGCGUAUGCAAUGAUUCGAAGGAAUGGCAAAGUAGAGGGCCUUUUAUGCAUGCCCACCUUUUC
rnacentral:lncRNA from 1 species